GUCUGGCUUUUUGUCUCGCAUUCAAAAUGCAAAGUUGAUGAUGUGAUGUCCCCUCUGGCCAGCUCUUGUGGAACUGCUGUGCUGAAGUUUGAGCCAUUUGUGCUCCACGUUCAGUGUCGGACACUAGAGGAUGCACACCUAAUGGCCAGGCCAACUACUCUUCAUUCUCUUCCAUUAUGCCAAGCGACUCCAGCGCCGCAUCCACUUUGCGAUUGGGUUCGGUCAACGCAUGAGUCUUGAGUGUUGAGAACCUGUCCCAAACCAUCCAGAAACGCCGGCAGCUUGUUCCCUUCCAAUGAAGUGGGACACGUCGUCUGAAUGUUGUGAUAAAUCAGGAAACUGCCGGAUCACAAACGGCAGGAUGCCUGUUAUUAAAAGACCAAUACAAUACCGUAUUGGCCCGAAUGUAAGACGGUGUUUUUUUGCACUGAAAUAAGACUGAAAAAGUGGGGGGUCGUCUUAUAUUCGGGGUCUAGACAAUAUACCCAUUCACGACGCUAGAUGGCGCCGGAUACCUUUGAUGCGAAUGCUUGAACUUGACUCCCCAGGCCAAAGCGAACCCCUGUCACGAAGAAGAAAAAAUAAAAAUAGCGGUAGCACGAAGAAGAAAAAUAAAAAAUAGGGGUAAGAAAGAAUAGAGCAGAAAAUGAAGAGAUAACCGAAAAUGGAGAAACGUAGCGACAAUCUGGAGAAAAGUGGUUAACCGGCAGCUGAGGAGAAGUUAUGAUGUCAAUUACAUUUCAAAAACCAGAAGCCAUUCAUUUACGAAUGUGAUUGCACUUUCAUUUACUAUACAUAUUUAAAUGUUCAGAUAUUAAGAUUUGAAUGAGUCAAAAUAACAUGCUUUUUCUCUCAAAUAUAUUGUUAGAAUCAUUUGUUUCAGAUGUACUGUAAUUAUUUUCUGUAUAAAAAUUAAUUUGGUGUUCAAAAAGUCUUUUUUCAAACUUGAGUCUUGAAAAAGAGGGGGUCAUCUUAUAAUCAGGGCCGUCUUAUAUUAGGGCCAGUACAAUACUGUAGAUGUCUUCCACUACAGACAGUAUAAGCAAACCAAACUGCACUUCUGCCAAGGAUCUGAGGUGUACUCAGCAGCAAACAUCCCAGAGGGGCAAGAAGGCUCCCCACCGCCUGCUCUUUGUGUCGAAAAAAUGUUAUCCACAGUGCUGAGAGUCCAGCUAAUUUCAUGGUUUGUUUUCCGGAAGAAAAAAAAUACGGCAGACGGCUCGAGUAUCCAUCCAUUUUCCGAUCCGCUUUAUCCUAACAAGGGUCACGGGGGGUGGUGGAGUCUAUCCCAGCUGCCUUCGGGCAGUAGGCAGUGGACACCCUGAACCGGUUGCCGGCCAAUCGCAGGGCGUACACAGACAAACAACCAUCCACGUUCACACUGUUACCUAGGGACAAUUUGAAGUGUUCAAUUAGCCUGCCAUGCAUGUUUUUGGAAUGUGGGAGGAAACCGGAGUACCGGGAGAACACCCACGCGUGCCCGGGGAGAAUAUGCUAACUCAACACAGGGAGACCGGAGCUGGAAUUGGAAUUCGAGUUUGUUGUUUUGCUUGUAGCGACACCAUUCCAGCAAAGCGCGCCACAGCAGUUGGUCUCUGCUGUACGUGCCUCAGCGCAAACAUUUACCCAUGCGAGCGUCGUUUUGGUUUCAACCAAUCAGCGCCGACGCAACCGACGUCAGAUAUCGAAGAAGCUCCGUCAACAGCAAACACAAGCAACGACAACCACCAUUCCCCUACCUUGGACUUUCGAAAUUUCGGCAACAGCGGAAGCCUCAAAGUCCAGAUAAAUAAUUGAAUAUUGAGUAUUUGAGCGCUAUAUGUAAAAUUAUUCGUGCGUAAUGUUCAAGCAGGUAGACAGAUAAGCAGACUUACGCGUGUGUGAGGAACACGUUCAAGUGGUUAUGGCUCGAAGAAAAGGACGUGAACUGAGAUUUUUUUUGUCUGACUACAUUCGGAAAGUCGACAAACCCGGGCUUGCUAUCUGCAUUUGGUGCAACGAUACCCUUAGGUACGGAUCAUCAGGGAAGAAGGAUUUAAAAACCCACUCAAAGAAAGCGAAGCACAAUGUUGAAAAUCCAUGCAAACAAACCAGUCCCUUCCUGCAAUGUUCAGUGCAACCAAAGCCCUGAAUGAAGGGACAACUUCCAAGGCUUCAUCCAGUCUGCCAUACGGAGCUGCACCUAAUAUAUUUGACAGUAGCAGCUGCUCUGAGCUGGUUCAGCCACCACGUCCCUACGUCAGUAUGCUGGACAGAAAAGCUCACUUAGAAGCGAUGACACUGUCAUUCACCACAGAACACUCACUGCCACUGAGUUUAACACCUCGACUUAUCAAUUUUGCACAGGAGUUUGGUAGAGAUACCAAAGCAAGCAAAGGAAUACAAAUGGAGAGGACCACAGCCGAGUCUGACUGCAGUGGCUCUUCAAAGAAAAAUGCAAAAAAAUCAAAACAUGUUUAAAUGACAGAACUGAAAGAAGUGAUUUAUUAUUUAGGUAUUACUUUCCAUUAUUAUCAGGAGUAAGAAAUAAAAAGUGGAAAAUCUA